UACGGGGGGGGUAAGCGUUGUUCGGAAUUACUGGGCGUAAAGGGCUCGUAGGCGGCCAACUAUGUCAGACGUGAAAUCCCUCAGCUUAACUGGGGAACUGCGUCUGAUACUGGAUGGCUUGGAUCCGGGAGAGGGAUGCGGAAUUCCAGGUGUAGCGGUGAAAUGCGUAGAUAUCUGGAGGAACACCGGUGGCGAAGGCGGCAUCCUGGACCGGUAUUGACGCUGAGGAGCGAAAGCCAGGGGAGCAAACGGG
rnacentral:rRNA from 1 species